rnacentral:rRNA from 1 species
AUGAGUGGGGGACAACCCGGGGAAACUCGGGCUAAUACCGCAUACGCCCUACGGGGUAAAGCAGGGGACCUUCGGGCCUUGCGCUGAUGGAUGAGCUCGCGUCGGAUUAGCUUGUUGGUGAGGUAAAGGCUCACCAAGGCGACGAUCCGUAGCUGGUCUGAGAGGAUGAUCAGCCACACCGGGACUGAGACACGGCCCGGACUCCUACGGGAGGCAGCAGUGGGGAAUCUUGGACAAUGGGGGCAACCCUGAUCCAGCCAUGCCGCGUGUGUGAAGAAGGCCUUCGGGUUGUAAAGCACUUUCAGCAGGGAGGAAGGCUUACCCCUAAUACGGGUGAGUACUUGACGUUACCUGCAGAAGAAGCACCGGCUAAUUUCGUGCCAGCAGCCGCGGUAAUACGAAAGGUGCAAGCGUUAAUCGGAAUUACUGGGCGUAAAGCGCGCGUAGGCGGUGUGUUAAGUCAGAUGUGAAAGCCCAGGGCUCCACCUUGGAAUUUCAUCCGAUACUGGCACGCUAGAGUGCAUAGAGGGAGGUGGAAUUUCCGGUGUAGCGGUGAAAUGCGUAAGAUCGGAAGGAACACCAGUGGCGAAGCGGCCUCCUGGACUGACACUGACGCUGAGGUGCCAAGCGUGGGAGCAACAGGAUUAGAUACCCUGGUAGUCCACGCUGUAAACGAUGUCUACUA